rnacentral:lncRNA from 1 species
GCAUGUCGCUUACAAAUCCAACAUCCCGCCCGACACGAGAGGGGCAGAAACGGCGGGGCAGACGGCCAGCCUCUUGAACAUGAGCAUAGCAGUGCAAUAUCGCACAUUGGGUCCCCGCCUGCUUCACCUGGCCACCUUUGCUGAUUUGUCUGACAUCCCUGUCUACACACUUUUAUCCGCCCACGCUUGAGACGUCCUCCUCAGCGCGCAGGCUUCACGGUACCAACCGUGCGGUAUCAUCGCUACAUGAUGAGUGCACUGCCCCAACCAUUGAAGCAUCACAAGGUGCUUGCCUGCCGCCGCCGCCGCUGAUACGUACACGAUUGCUGCCACACAACCAACACAUCACACCCAACAAUCACAACAACAAAACAACUGAGACCCGCCGCCGCGCAACGCACACUGCUGUACACGCCCCAGGGCCGAGAACACAACGCAACACAAGCACCUGACAUGCCUCAUCCAGGCAUGCGUCACUCAAUCGCCCACCGAGCCGACCUCGCACACGCCGUUCGUGAGCCCCUGCGGCUGACAUGCCCGGCCCUGCCCCCUUGGCACCGCAGCCCUGCCGCCUUGGCACCGCCGCCCAUUGCCCCACCCCCAUGCUGCGUGCCAUGUAAGAAUAAAGCCAGGUCCCCAUCAAGCCGCAGCAUAUAUCCCCGCCAAGCCACCACACUCCUCUUGCCGCACGCUACCAACCACCACCAGCACAGGACCGGCACCUGCCUGUCCCCCUGUUUAGUUUGGGCUGAUAUUUACAACCCCCCACCCUCCCCUCCCCACCUUCCCCAUUGCCAACCUCGCCCACCGCGCCGACAUACACGCCGGCACCUCGCUCGUGCCUCUCGAGGCCUCCCAUCUUCCGUAGCUAGAGAUCCCCAUCCACUAGCAUCCACUUGGGCUCCAGCCCACUCCUGAUGCACACGCCAGCAUUAUCCAGGUCUGCAUGGUUUGCAUGUCUGCCUACCGUGCACGCACACCUGCCUAGCUACGCCGACCUACUACCGUCCUCCUCGACCCGACCCGCCGCCGCCGCCGCCUCCCUCUGGCCGCCGUGCCGGCCGCACCAGCAGCUGCUGUUGUGGGUUGCCGCCAGAGCCGCCGCCGCCCUUGCUGGUAGUGGUGGUGGUUGCGGGCUGCUGCGGCGCGGCCGUAAUGACAGCCGCAGCGCCGCCCACGGCACCCACUGCCACUGUUUCCACCGCCACCGCCGGCUGCUGCAGCCGGCGCAGCAGGUAGGCCUCCUGCUCCUCCGGGCUCUUCAGGCCCGCCCACUCCCAGUACGGCAGCACAAGAACGCCGCCGCCCUCCCCGAACGCCCGCCGCAGCUGCCGAAUGCGCAUGGCCGUACCACCGUCAACAGCGGUGGGGUCGCGCUUUAGAUUGGACAGAAAGCGUGCCGGUCCGAGGAGCUCCACCGCCGCCUGCUGCCCGUCACUCAGCCGCACCACCGCAUCCACUGGCGCCAACGCGCCUUGCGCGACCACGCCCGUUUGUACGGACACGACGGCAAGGCCUCCUGCUGCCUCACGCCCCUGGUGCUGCUCAAGCCGCCGCAGCGCUGCGACGACCUGCUUUUGGAUGUCAGAUGUGGGCUUGGCGUUUUCCCUCUCAGCAGUCACCGCCGCUGCCAUCGCCGCCUGCAGGCCGGGGCUGCUCCCCAGGGCCGCCGCAACCUCGCCGCCUAGCUCUUGCUGCGCCUGCCACAGCUGAUUGAGAUUCUCAGUUGUAAAACCCUCCCAACGGCUUACUGCUUCACGGGCUAGCUGAAUGGAUAGCUGCUGCAUGUCGGGAGAAUACGUGCCUCCAAUCACCGCCAUGGCCCACAGGCUGUUUGAUAUGUUUUGGUUGUUUACCGCCUGCCUGUCGCGCUGCAGCAGCUCGCCCAGCCGGCCGCACACCGCCGCCUCCAAGCCAGCGUGCCGCAGCUGCAGCACCGCCAGCGCCCAGAGCGUGUUUGCACAGUUCUGACCACCGGCACUACUGGCGCGCAUGGCUGCUGCUGCUGCACCCGCAUCCAGCAGCUCCGGCGGCGGCUGGUGGCGCAUCAACGCAAGCGCGUACAGCAGGUUGGCCCAGGCCUGAGGCGUCGCACGGGCCAUGACGCCCGGCCGCAUUGCUGCGACCACCGCUGCCGAAGCCCACUGCCGCUGCUCUGCCGGCGCCUCCGGGCCCACCCCAAAUCCGAUCUUGGCCAGGGCCCACGCUGAGUUGCUGAGGUCCUGAGCCACGUACCCGGCAAAUCCCCGACGCACGUCCUCUGCGGCCACUGCCACCACCAGCUCUGCCUGCUCGCCGCCCAGCUGCAGCCCCUCCAGCGCCAGCAGGAUGUUGGACAGAUGCUGCGGCUUGAACGCUUCAGCAUCCUUCGGUGCUCGGAGCUGCCGCAGCGCCUCCCCGCACAGCGCCUCAACUGCUGAUCGGUACUCUGGUCCCAUGCAACCCAAAGCCGCAAACGCCCAGAGGGUAUUGGACAGAUGUUGCGUCUCCAUGCUGAGACUGAGCGCCGCUGCCGCCUCUGCCAGCGGCAGCAGGAGUUCCGGUUCCGGGUAACCCAGCUUGGCGCACGCCCAGAGAAUGUUGGACACGUCCUGUGCUGUGAAGCCGUGACCAACCGCCACUCCCAACCGGGAGGCCACAGCUGCCGCCAAGGUCUGCAAGUGCGGAGAUGAGGUGGGGUCCCAGCCUGAGCCCCGCUGCUCCUGGUCUUGCUUGAUCUUGCCGAGUGCGUACAUGACGUUUGUAAGACUUUGAGGUUUUGCAGUUCCAAGAACCUCUGAAUCCAACAGCCGCUCCAGCAGCGCUGCUAUGAGCUGAGCCUCCAUGGCCGAGCCGCCGCUGAUCCCUGCUUUCCCCAGCGCCCACAGCACGAUGCUGCAAUCAACCGCCUUGCGGAUGCGCGGCACGAGCGGCAGGUAGGCCGGCGCAAGCAUGCCGAUAAUGCUGCUGCGUGCUACAGCCGUUUGGCUUGCUCCAGCGCGCGACUCCAGCUGCGUUCAAAACAGUUAUGAGGGACAUACAUGGGGUCAAGUGCUAUAUGCAUGUGUUUGUGCGUGUGCGUGAACAGGUGCGCAUGCAAGUCCUGUGUGGCCAUCUGCGUCGUGAGAACCGGAAGUCCGGGCCGAGAAUGACAACAAUUGGACUCGCCCUCAAUUCUGCACUUUAUUUCUCUGCCCAUUCCCACCUGCACGUUUUAGUCCUCCCUCUCACCUUGCCGCACAGGUUGAACGCCGCACACAUGGUAAUGAAGUCUUUUCGGCCCUCCCACACUGAUAGCCGCUGGCUGAUGAUAGCUUGCAGGUCCUCCAGAGUCCGACACACGGUCAUGUCAUCCGCGGGGUCACGCCCGCUGCCCCUGCUUCUGCCGCUGGCGCGGCUGCCAUCGCCUGCCCUGCCUCCGCCGCUUCCCCUACCCGCCGCCGCCUGCACUAUUGGCCGCCCGAGGCGGGAGCUACUGCUGCCGCAGAGCACUACCGCCGUCGAGACGCGCAGUGGGGAUGAGCUGCUACUGUUGAGUGCUGGGACAGAAGUAGCGGCGGCAGCGCGCGGUGAGCUGGGGCCGGUGUCGGCAGCGGUCCGAUGCAUGCCAUAAACGAACAGUCUUCUAAACGCGCACGCCGGUGGCGGUGCCUGGAGACGGGCUGAUAACGAAUGGCUACAGCCAUGUACGCUGUGCCUGUGCGCACCAGCGGGAGAGCCCGCGACGACGCGCAGGGCGAGCAUCUCGGGCCUCCUCACGGCGGCGACCUGAGCUAUAGCGACUCUAUCCGUCUACGUGUCUGAGCACUGCAAAUGCAUUAGGCUUGCAUUUGUGGGAGAAUAACGCAAGGAACGAAAGGUCAGGUGCGUGUAGGUCGCUGGGCCAAAGCCGCCUGAGUAGCUGUGGCUUGGUAUGGAUGAUAAAGCAACUGAAUCAAUUUGCCACCGGUGUUGAGGCGAGGGCGACCUGACCGCGAAAUACACGGCCCGAGGGCACGCCCCGUAUCAACACCCCUCGCGACCUCCAAACACGUGCACUGAACCGCGAAGCCCUCCCCCAAGCCUAUCGCGGCUGCUAUUCCCAUGUCCUCCUCCCCAACCAUUCUGCAUACAGGCUCUGGCGUGAGUCCCUGCCCGCGUCAUUUGACACCCGUCGACCACGACUGAGGUGCAACGCAUGUCGCUUACAAUUCCAACAUCCCGCCCGACACGAGAGGGGCAGAAACGGCGGGGCAGACGGCCAGCCUCUUGAACAUGAGCAUAGCAGUGCCAUAGCGCACAUUGGGUCCCCGCCUGCUUCACCUGGCCACCUUUGCUGAUUUGUCUGACAUCCCUGUCUACACACUUUUAUCCGCCCACGCUUGAGACGUCCUCCUCAGCGCGCAGGCUUCACGGUACCAACCGUGCGGUAUCAUCGCUACAUGAUGAGUGCACUGCCCCAACCAUUGAAGCAUCACAAG